rnacentral:misc_RNA from 1 species
AAUCAUCAACCUCAUCGUGGGGCUUGGACUUUGGAGCGUGCUGGCCCCCUGAGGUCGGCUCCUCUUUAAAUGCAUCAGCGGAAAGCCAUUGAUGUUUCCCGUCAGCGUGAUAAUCCUGUUGUGCUGCUAGGUCACGUCGGGGAUCCGCUUAUAAUGGUCUUCGGACGAUAUCUA